UGGGGAAUCUUGGACAAUGGGCGCAAGCCUGAUCCAGCCAUGCCGCGUGAGUGAAGAAGGCCCUAGGGUUGUAAAGCUCUUUCAGUGGUGACGAUGAUGACGGUAGCCACAGAAGAAGCCCCGGCUAACUCCGUGCCAGCAGCCGCGGUAAUACGGAGGGGGCAAGCGUUGUUCGGAAUUACUGGGCGUAAAGGGCGCGUAGGCGGUCUGUUGCGUCAGGUGUGAAAGCCCCGGGCUCAACCUGGGAGGUGCACUUGAUACGGGCGGACUGGAAUCCGGGAGAGGAUGGUGGAAUUCCCAGUGUAGAGGUGAAAUUCGUAGAGAUUGGGAAGAACACCAGUGGCGAAGGCGCUCAACUGGACCGUAACUGACACUCAGGGACGAAAGCUAGGGGAGCGAAAGGGAUUAGAUACCCGCGUAGUCC
rnacentral:rRNA from 1 species